UUGCUCAUUAAAUGACCCUAUGAAUUUGGUCAUUUGGUUUGGAAGGACUACUGCAUUUAUUUGACAGAAUGAUCCUGAUUUUAUUGUUUGACUUGGUGAGAAAAAGGGUGGAUGGCCACUCUAUAUAUAAACACAGCCAGGUUUAUUAGUACAUCAAAAUAUACAGGUUUAUAGAACCUCUAAAAUUUAGAUGUUGAUCGUUUCAGCUAAGAAAAAAAAAAGUUAACCUGGAUGUUUUUUGUUUUUUUCCCUCAGCAAAUCUAAGGCAGUUCAGCAACUCUAUUACUGUAAAUAUCUGCCUUUGGUGUUGCUUGGGGAAUUGGUAGGAAUCAUGGAAAAACCUAGCUUGGAAGUGACCUGUAGGCUUCAUUUCCCUAGCUUCUGGAGGAGGGAUAUAUUUGAGAAGCAGUGUAUUUAAGCGUCAGGAGAUUAGGGUGUGGGUAUGAGCCAAGACAUUGUUGGUUGCUGCUUGAUGAGGUGACUUAUUUGUGGAGUGGGACCAACAACGGUGUUGGAAGCUAGGUGAUCUCGGCCUGAGGCACUGUGCUGUAAUGGUAGACACAUGUACAACAAGAUUAAUGGGAAAGGAGGCUUAACAGAGUGUUGAAGUGUUAAAGAGGGAACUCAAAGGCCUUGUCCAUCUGGAUUGACCUUCAGGUUGAAACUAGGUAGAGCCAAAUGCCUAUAUGCUAUUUGCCUUGGAGUGCUCCUCUGUCACAUGGAAAUAGGAUUUUUUGUUUGUUUGUUUCUGAUGUGAAUCAACUCUUCAACAUGAAAUGUUAACAAAAAAACAUCUUGCCUAGGGUUUAAAAAUGUAUUCAAUGCAGAAAGUCUUGAAAAUAUUUAAUGCUUCAAAUAAUUUUCCCCAGCCUCUUAGGUAUCUUGUACUAAAAGUGUCUUUUUGUUGAAAUAUUUUUAAAAAUAUUAGUUUCCACUUUCACUUUUUUGUUCCCAGGACAACUGUUCCUCUGAACCACAAUUGCUCCUUUAUUUUAUUUUUUUCUGGUUUUGAAAUAACCCAUCCUGCAUCCAUAAACAACUUGCCUUGAUGGCUAGCCAAGACUCUGUCCUGCCACAGACCUCCUCCUACUUUCAUUUCUUACCCCAAGGAGCAGUAAACAUGAAUCCUGACCCACUAAUGGAGCCCCAGAACUGAGAAGAUACAUUGCUGCUAAACAGGAUUAUUUUUGCACCUUUGGAAAGCAACUGAAAAAAGAAGCUUGGAAAAAAUCCUGCCUAACAAAGCAGCCAUACUCAAAUAGCUAAAACUAUAAGAAACAACUGAUUGAAGAUACAAGAAUAGAUUUAAGAUGUAAGAUUAAAACAUGAUAAAAAAUGA